rnacentral:rRNA from 1 species
GAGUUUGAUCGUGGCUCAGAUUGAACGCUGGCGGCAUGCCUUACACAUGCAAGUCGAACGGCAGCACGGGAGCUUGCUCCUGGUGGCGAGUGGCGAACGGGUGAGUAAUGCAUCGGAACGUAUCCUGGAGUGGGGGAUAACGUAGCGAAAGUUACGCUAAUACCGCAUAUUCUGUGAGCAGGAAAGCGGGGGACCUUCGGGCCUCGCGCUCUUGGAGCGGCCGAUGUCGGAUUAGCUAGUUGGUGGGGUAAUGGCUCACCAAGGCGACGAUCCGUAACUGGUCUGAGAGGAUGAUCAGUCACACUGGAACUGAGACACGGUCCAGACUCCUACGGGAGGCAGCAGUGGGGAAUAUUGGACAAUGGGCGAAAGCCUGAUCCAGCCAUGCCGCGUGUGUGAAGAAGGUCUUCGGAUUGUAAAGCACUUUAAGUUGGGAGGAAGGGCAGUAAGUUAAUACCUUGCUGUUUUGACGUUACCGACAGAAUAAGCACCGGCUAACUCUGUGCCA